rnacentral:lncRNA from 1 species
UCGGUUCAGUAUCCAAGAAGGUUGACAUUCUUGCAGUUUUCCUUGGAAGAAAGGUGAUGUUCUCCUCAUGUUGGUGCUUAAAAUUCGCCUGUCAAAUCAAUUACUUUUCUGCUAAUGCUUGUAACGGCUUUUUCUCGCAGAAGAAAAGGGGAUAUGGUUAUUCCUAGCGUCGUAUUUUAUGGAGCAAGUGGAGGAUGCAACCGGCAUUAGCUAUCAACCUUCCACCUCGGCUUGAAAACGACCCUCCCCAAUUUUUUUUUUUUAAGUAGAUGGUUGGCUACAAGUCCAUGAAUGCUGAUGACCAUCUCUGAGGAAGCUGUAUCAGACCCACAACCCAUACCUAAUACAGGAAAAGAGCCUCAUGGAGGAGCAACAUAAUGCAGGACUGCUCUGUAACCCCUCAAAAUGUGCCCACAAGUAAUCAAUCUUGUUUUUAGGUAUCUGAUGUAGACCCAUGAAAGAAGGGAUAAUCUCAAACAAAUCCAUUGGGAG